rnacentral:tRNA from 1 species
GCGCCUGUAGCUCAGUGGAUAGAGCAGUGGCCUCCGGAGCCGCGUGCGUAGGUUCGAUUCCUAUCAGGCGCACGA